GAAGCUCUCCUCAGCCAGGGGAUAAGAGAGGCCUGGGGGGACCAGCCCAUCCUAGAGGCCUGAGAGAGCAGAUCUGGGGGCACCUCCACCAUGGCCUGGACCCCUCUCCUCCUCACCCUCCUGGCUCACUGCGCAGGUUCUGUGGCCUCCUUUGAGCUGACCCAGCCACACUCAGUGUCAGUGGCCCUGGGGCAGACGGCCAGGCUCACCUGCUCUGGAGGAAAAUUUGAGGACAGAUAUGCUUGCUGGUACCAGCAGAAGCCAGAUCGGGCCCCUAAGCUAGUCAUCUAUGAGGAUAGCAAGCGGCCCUCAGGGAUCCCUGACCGAUUCUCUGGCUCCAGCUCUGGGAACACAGCCACCCUGACCAUAAGUGGGGUCCAGACUGAGGAUGAGGCCGACUAUUACAGUCUGUCAUCAGAAAGUGAGAGCAGUGCUUCUCACACCCCAGGAGGACUGAGGACAAGCAAUGUGCAGGCCUAG